rnacentral:rRNA from 1 species
GCAAUCGAAGCAGUGAACUUAAGCCCCAGUAAACGGCGGCCGUAACUAUAACGGUCCUAAGGUAGCGAAAUUCCUUGUCGGGUAAGUUCCGACCCGCACGAAAGGCGUAACGAUUUGGGCACUGUCUCAACAACAGACUCGGUGAAAUUGUAAUUCCGGUGAAGAUGCCGGAUACCUGCGACAGGACGGAAAGACCCCAUGGAGCUUUACUGUAGCUUGACAUUGGGUCUUGGUACUACAUGUACAGGAUAGGUGGGAGGCUUUGAAACCAGGACGCCAGUUUUGGCGGAGCCAUCCUUGGGAUACCACCCUUGUAGUACUGGGACUCUAACCAUAGGCCAUGAAUCUGGUCUUGGGACACUGUCAGGUGGGCAGUUUGACUGGGGCGGUCGCCUCCCAAAAGGUAACGGAGGCGCUCAAAGGUUCUCUCAGUACGGUCGGAAAUCGUACGUAGAGUGUAAAGGCAAAAGAGAGCUUGAUUGCAAGACAUACAGGUCGAGCAAGGAUGAAAAUCGGACUUAGUGAUCCGGUGGUUCUGCGUGGAAGGGCCAUCGCUCAACGGAUAAAAGCUACCCUGGGGAUAACAGGCUUAUCUCCCCCAAGAGUCCACAUCGACGGGGAGGUUUGGCACCUCGAUGUCGGCUCAUCACAUCCUGGGGCUGUAGUAGGUCCCAAGGGUUGGGCUGUUCGCCCAUUAAAGUGGUACGCGAGCUGGGUUCAGAACGUCGUGAGACAGUUCGGUCCCUAUCCGUCGCAGGCGUAGGAAAUUUGAGAAGACCUGUCCUUAGUACGAGAGGACCGGGAUGGACG